AUGAACGCUGGCGGCGUGCUUAACACAUGCAAGUCGAACGAUGAAGCCUAGCUUGCUGGGUGGAUUAGUGGCGAACGGGUGAGUAACACGUGAGUAACCUGCCCUUGACUCUGGGAUAAGCACUGGAAACGGUGUCUAAUACCGGAUACGAACUUCGACGGCAUCGUCAGGAGUUGGAAAGAAUUUUGGUCAAGGAUGGACUCGCGGCCUAUCAGCUUGUUGGUGAGGUAAUGGCUCACCAAGGCGACGACGGGUAGCCG
rnacentral:rRNA from 1 species